rnacentral:rRNA from 1 species
GACGAACGCUGGCGGCGUGCUUAACACAUGCAAGUCGAACGGAAAGGCCCUGCUUUUGUGGGGUGCUCGAGUGGCGAAAGGGUGAGUAACACGUGAGUAACCUGCCCUUGACUUUGGGAUAACUUCAGGAACCUGGGGCUAAUACCGGAUCGGAGCUCCUGCUGCAUGGUGGGGGUUGGAAAGUUUCGGCGGUUGGGGAUGGGCUCGCGGCUUAUCAGCUUGUUGGUGGGGUAGUGGCUUACCAAGGCUGUGACGGGUAGCCGGCCUGGGAGGGUGACCGGCCACGUUGGGACUGAGAUGCGGCCCAGACUCCUACGAGAGGCAGCAGUGGGGAAUAGUGCACAAUGGGCGGAAGCCUGAUGCAGCAACGCCGCGUGCGGGAUGACGGCCUGCGGGUUGUAAACCGCUUUCGCCUGAGACGAAGCGUGAGUGACGGUAAUGGGUAAAGAAGCACCGGCUAACUACGUG